GAUCAGAAGUGCAGAGCAGCUUAGUUGAAUGUUAACUCUUUCAUUUCUGGGCCAGAUGUCAUCUGAACUUAGCUUUUUUAAAAAUGAUGAUGAUGAUUUUCCAGCUUUAAAAGUGAUGUUAUGUCUUUAAUAUGAAAAAAAAAAAAGUUUUUUGAGACACACAAAAAACAGCUUUUUUUUUUUUUAACUGAAUAAGGUGGGGGGGGGGAAGGGAAGACCUGUAUUAACUUGGAAUUUUUUUUUUUUUUAAUGAUUCUGGCAAUUUGGUAGACUAAUAAAAUGUUUGGAGGUAGUAUUAAAUUUCAAAAUCUGUUUUUCUUUUGAGAGAAACAAGGCUAUGAUCCAUGACAUUUUGCUACCUUUCAAGACAUCUUUU
rnacentral:lncRNA from 1 species